UAGCAGUGAACUACAGGGUCUU
rnacentral:piRNA from 2 species